CUUUGUCUCAGUUGCACAUGAGCCAGAGCCACUUCUCCCAAUCAAAGGUACACUUUUAGGCUUCCAAGGAAAAACCAGAACAUGGUAGAUGGAUCUUCGCAACUGCUCCAAGGUCUUCCCCUCCAAAACCACAAAGCAGGCAGGUGAGUAUCCUGGAAUGAGUCCCCAGUGGCCUCCUGGGGGCUUGGAGAGGGGCCUCCAAUUUCCUGGGCAUUAUAUGUGUCAGGGGGUGGUAAUCCCAGCCAGAAGCCUGGCAUUCAGCCCCCAAGUCCUGACAUCUUGUUCUAAUCUACCCUGCCCGCUCAUUACUGGGGCAAUACAAGUCUCCAUCCUUUCCCAUCUGGUCAACACCCCCUCUCCGUCUUGGCCAGAGUAGAUUCUCAGGAACCCAAAUCCGACAACGAAGCUCCCCUGCUAAAAUCUGGAGGUCAAAAGCCUGGGAGAUAAGGGUUCCCCCUUCACCUGCAGUGGCCUUGGCCAUCAGCCCAGCCCUGUCUGCGGAUCCAGCCUUAUCUAGGCCCCACCCUCCCUCACCCC
rnacentral:lncRNA from 10 species